CAUAGUGGCGCACGGGUGAGGAACACGUGGGAAUCUCCCUUCUAGUAUGGGAUAACACCGGGAAACUGGUGCUAAUACCGUAUGACCCCUCCGGGGGAAAGAUUUAUCGCUAGAAGAUGAGCCCGCGUAAGAUUAGCUAGUUGGUGAGGUAAUGGCUCACCAAGGCUACGAUCUUUAGCUGGUCUUAGAGGACGAUCAGCCACACUGGAACUGAGACACGGUCCAGACUCCUACGGGAGGCAGCAGUGGGGAAUCUUGGACAAUGGGGGAAACCCUGAUCCAGCCAUGCCGCGUGAGUGAUGAAGGCCUUCGGGUUGUAAAGCUCUUUUGUAUGGGAAGAUAAUGACUGUACCAUAAGAAUAAGCCCCGGCUAACUUCGUGCCAGCAGCCGCGGCAAUACGAAGGGGGCUAGCGUUGUUCGGAAUUACUGGGCGUAAAGGGUGCGUAGGUGGUUAUGUAAGUCAGAAGUG
rnacentral:rRNA from 1 species